AAUUAUAAUAUUAUUAAUUUUUUAAAUUCUUUUAAUUUUUAAUGAAAAAUAAUUAUAUUUUAUUAAUUUGAAGAAAAAAUAAUGAUAAUUAUAGUAAAAUAGUAUUGAAAAAGAAUAAUUGAUUUUAUAAAAAGAAAAAUUUAAUUUUUGUAUCUUGUGUAUCAGAGUUUAUUAAAUAAUUUUGUAAUAAUUUUAUAAAUCUCGAAUUUAAAAGGGCUAAUUAAAUAAAAUUAUUAAUGUAGAAUAAUUAUAUUAAAUAUUUUAUUAGUAAUGAAAUGUUAAUCGUUUUUAAAUAUAUCUAGUUUUUUAAGAAAUUAAUUUAAUUAAUUUAUUGUAAAUAUAUUUUUAUUUUUUUAAUUAUAUAUUAAUAAUAAUAAAUAUUUUUAGGGAUGAGCUUAAAAAUAAAUUUUUAUUAAGUAUUUUAAAAAUAUUUAAAAUUAGAAUUAAAAAUUUUCAUAUUUUUAAGUAUGUUAUUAUUUAUAAUUUAUUAUUAUUAUUUUUAUGACUUAUAAAUAUUUUAUUAAAAUAUAAAUUUUAAUAAAAAAAAUUUAGGAAUAAUGAUAAAAUUAGUAUAUUGAUUUGUUAAAAUUUAAAUAAUUUUUAGGUUUAAUAAAGGAAUUCGGCAAAUGAUUUUUCACCUGUUUAUUAAAAACAUGUCUUUAUUGUUUAAUAUAUAAAGUCUAGCCUGCCCAAUGAUAUUUGAAUGGCCGCGGUAUUUUGACCGUGCUAAGGUAGCAUAAUCAUUAGUUUUUUUAUUGAAAACUGGAAUGAAGGGUUGGAUGAAAAAAUAGCUGUCUCUAUUAAAAUUUUAUAAAAAUUUAUUUUUAAGUUAAAAAGCUUAAAUAAAUUUAAAAGACGAGAAGACCCUAUAGAGUUUUAUAAUUUAUUAAAAUUAUUUAUUUAGUAUUAAUUAAAUAGUUUUAUUUAAUUAUUUGAUUGGGGUGAUUUAAAAAUUUAUUUAACUUUUUUUAUAUAAUUAUAUUUAUUUAUAAAUUUAUGAUCCAAAAUUUUUGAUUAUAAGAAAAAAUUACCUUAGGGAUAACAGCGUAAUUUUAUUAGAGAGUUCUAAUCGAUAAUAAAGAUUGCGACCUCGAUGUUGGAUUAAAAUUUAUAAUUGGUGUAGAAGCUAUAUUAUUAAGUCUGUUCGACUUUUAAAAUUUUACAUGAUCUGAGUUUAAACCGGUGUGAGCCAGGUUGGUUUCUAUCUUUAAUUAGUUAAUAUAUUUUAGUACGAAAGGACCAAGUAUAUAAAUAAUAUUUUUUUUUAGAUAAAAAUU
rnacentral:rRNA from 1 species